rnacentral:rRNA from 1 species
GACGAACGCUGGCGGCGUGCCUAAUACAUGCAAGUCGACCUUAGUGGCGAACGGGUGAGUAACACGUGGGUAACCUGCCCAUCCGAAGGGGAUAACACUUGGAAACAGGUGCUAAUACCGUAUACUGAUGGAUGGACCCGCGGUGCAGUAGCUAGUUGGUGAGGUAACGGCUCACCAAGGCCACGAUGCAUAGCCGACCUGAGGGGAUGAUCGGCCACAUUGGGGCUGAGACACGGCCCAAACUCCUACGGGAGGCAGGGGUAGGGAAUCUUCGGCAAGGGACGAAAGGCUAACCUGCCAACGCCGCGUGAGUGAAGAAGGUUUGCGGAUCGUAAAACUCUGUUGUUAGAGAAGCGGUAUCUAACCAGAAAGCCACGGCUAACUACGUGCCAGCAGCCGCGGUAAUUC